GAUGCACACGCCAUCUGCUUCUCCCUCCCCAGCAGUAGCACCUAGAGGCCCCGCUGUUCGCACAGCAAGACACGCCCCCGCACGUGCCGCGCAGACUGCAGCCAUGCGCCUCCACAGCUGCCGACAAUCACCUAUCAACGCAGCUGGUCUUGACGAGAGGCAGCGGCAUAAAAACUCACGCCACUGACUGCUCCAUGCCGGAACAACCUUUUGAUUCAUACCUCCGUGUCUCUGCAGUGAGCGGUGCGUCUCACCUGCUAAAUUCUUUCCCCGGACUCUGACUGCCUCCCUGGACCCUCGACCCCCCGCGCUUGCACCUGGAUCUCUGGACGUCUCUCUCUUGCCUCCACGGACCUCGCUAGGAUUUUGGACCUCUCUCGCUUCACCCUUCUGGACCUGUUUGCUACUGCAAUCAACACACACUUACAACAACCCCAGGUAACUUAUAUUUGAGUAACUUCCACACAUAGCCUUGCAUCCACACACAUAGUUGCAUACACACCCCAUGUACUCAUCAAGCCAAAAUAAAACCUUUGAGCUAGA